GUACACACAGACCAUGGUAUGAAUUCAGUUCUGUUUUACACAAGUUUCUAAAAUAGCUGGGUUUCUAUAACUACAUUCCAAGCAACUAUAGCCUAUUACUUCUAGGGGGAACACUGGGUAUACUUUUCAAAAUCCCCCCUCACUGUGACGGAGUUUUAUGGACACUUUUAAUUUAAAUAUCAUAUAAAUAAAUGUACAUAAAAAAGUCCUGGAUUUUAUCAGGAAUAAAUGGAGAGUCAGAGUGGAGUGACCAACACAGGCCAGCGGCUUCUGGCUGCUUGUCUUAGAGUGGUCCUCUAUCUUUGGGAGCCAUCAUGUAUGCCUGUGUGCAUCAGAGAGACCGAAUUUAAAGUCAGCAUGGCUCAUGAAAGUCAGUUCUACAAGGAUGGGGGUGCAGAAGAGUGGAAAGUCCAGCAGGUUCUUGUCGCACUGGCUCAGGGGCUAAGGCACACGUGAUGAACAGCUAACCAGAGGAAAGAAUCCAUCCUCAAGCCAAGUUCCCUGCCUCACUGUCUUGGUUCUGUGUUAUGUCCUUAGAGAGAUUUUCUGCAUAGAUGGUUACACAGGUGGCCUGUGGCUUCAGACAUCAUUUAAGUGUUGUUACUCCUGUACAUGUCACCAGUGACUCUUUAGAAGUUUUAAUAUACCCAGUUACAGCUCCAUUUGGGGAUGCUGUGGGUGACUCGGACUGCAGCUGUGCCUAGCACAGGCUUUCCUUCCCAUGCUGUCUCUCAGCUCCUCGUUAGCCCUGCCCCAUGCCAGUUGCUCUCACUUGAGCUUUUUAUACGCUCGCUCGUUAAUGACUUUGCCAGGUCUGUAGUGGCUCAAGGUUAAACUCCAUGCGCUUUCUAUGGUUUCUUUGCUCUUCUAGCUGCAAGUCCUGUCCAAGUUGCUCUUACAUUCUGACUCUUGUUUCCAAACUGUGUCUGUUACUGCUUGUCAUGGCCCUGCAGUGGCAUUUGUCUAGGUGUGUUUCUCUUUUCUCUUCUCUAUGCUGUGUCGGCUGUGGCUUUAUUGGUUAGGCGUUUUCACACAGUCUCUCAUAAUAAUUUCAUCUUAUCUGACCAGGGGCCUUUGCAUCUGCUGUGUCAUCUGCUUGGGUGUUUCUCAUUCCUACCUCAUCUUCACACCUCAUCAGCUGAGCUUGGCCUCCUUGGGCUCCUUGUCACACAGCUUAUUGCUGUACUGCAUCUGCCAUGUAGUAGCAGUGUGGCUUGAGCACAGUCGCUCCUGUUUUAGAGUUGUGUAGCAGCACUGGGGAAAUGCAGUAGCACAGAGGGCUGGCAGUGCCUAGUGGAGUGAGUCCAGGAUGUGAUUUCUUUUCCUCACACGUGGCUGACACUGUCAACAGUAGGCUCAAAGCCACUGGACAGUGCUUUCAUGGUUUCUCUCCAGGGAACAGUGACACGUCUAUUGAACAGCAGUGCUGACAGGUAGUGAUGAGCUUUUCUAGAUGGGGUGAGGGGAGAAGGGAAGAGCGCUGCACUCAGUAGAGUCCCACCGUUCCCAGCAGUUGCACUUGGUGGGCAGUUUGCUGAGCAGCAGAUCUGAAAGGAGGAGAGACUCCAGAGCAGCUGGUGAUGAGAGAUGGGAAGCAGACCCUGUGCCUCCUCCUGCAGCUCUCUGAGAACCCUUGCAAUCUGCAAAAACAAAAACACUACUGAACCCUGCCCUAUCGCUGAACCCCGCCCUCAUCUCUAUCAUAUACUGCGGCUGUAAUGUGUUCUGUUAGAAGUACAAUAACAAAAUGAGCACCAUUUUCCUCAACAUGAAGAUUUUAUAGCUAUCUCAAAUCAACCUCUCUCGCUCUCUCGCUCUCUCGCUCUCUUUCCUUCCCUUCUUCCCUCCCUCACUUUCUGUCUUCCUUCCUUUUUUCUUUUUAAAAAAAAAAUCAAUUAUAAAAACCCAGUAUGGAUAUUUUUUUUGGUAUAGUCAAUAUCACUGUUCUUGUGCUUUCGUGCCAUUAUUAAGUAGAGGUUCUUGUACCAUAAAUACGGUAAGUGCCAUUAAAUCUGAUGACACAUGGCUGCUAGAUAUCAAAUAGGCAGGCUGUUGAUACAGUGCUGAUGAGCCUGGACCAGAGGGUGACUCACAUCCCUAGUGUGAUGGAGUGAGAUGAAGAGGGAUUUCAUAAGUAGGAGUUGAAAACAUAUUUCAAAACUUAUGACCUGUUUAUUCCUGGUAUUUUAAGGUCUCAUAUUAUGGUUAGCUUCAGAGAAGUGAAACUGCAAAAAGCAGAACUCGAGAUAAGGGGCAACUUCUAUGAAAGUAUCUACAAAAAUCAGUCAGUAUGACUCAGUGAAACCGAGCACUACCAUGCUAUUCUAUACAGAAUAACUAGAGGACUUCUUGUGAUCAUGGGGGUGAUUCAAUAGCAGUAGAAAGAAUCCUAUUAUUCCUAUAGUAAUUGUAGUGGUAAUGACCACAGGGAGAUACUUCUCAUGGGCCAGGCAUAUUUCUAACUAUUUUCAUCCUUUUAUCGAUGGCUAUGAAUAGAUCAUUAUUAUUCCAAUUUUAUGGAAGGGAAUCUCAAGCAUGGCAUAGGUAAUUUGUCUACACUCAGACAGCUGGUGUAAAAAGCCUAAAUAAAUCUGCCAGAAGCCAUGUCAUUGUGAGGUAAUUUUAGGGCAAGAUUUCAGUCCAAGGUAUAUUAAAAUGGAAUGAAGUAACAGACUCACUCAGUAUAUCCU
rnacentral:lncRNA from 1 species